CCGGCUCACGGGGUGCGUGUCAGCCCACUAACGACUCCUCGCUCCGCCGGAGCUGAAGGUGCGAUGCAGAGCGGCAGCUCGCAGGCAGCGCGGGCUUUUCACCUGCUUCGGAGCAAUCAGCAGCCAUCCCGGAGGGGAUUUUGAAGGGCUGAAGAAACAGGUACUACCAGCGUGUUCCCCCGAAGCCCCCUGCACUGCCCGGGGCUCGGAGCCACAGCCCUGGGAAUUCAUGCUGGCCAAGAACAUGCGGCAGUGAAUGCAGCCCCAUCGGCAGAACAGCCCCCUUCUCCAAAGGUCCGGUAUCCCAGUGACCAACUUGCUUUAAUAUGGCCCUUGCUGCAGUUACCAUAAGCGUUUUAGGAUUUCAAAGUUAGAAAUUCCUGAUACUUUGCUGUAAAGGGUGGGGAGGCAGAAAACAUGAUGCACUGGCAAUG